CGAACCGGGGGAACUGAAACAUCUAAGUACCCCGAGGAAAAGAAAUCAACCGAGAUUCCCCCAGUAGCGGCGAGCGAACGGGGAGCAGCCCAGAGCCUGAAUCAGUAUGUGUGUUAGUGGAAGCGUCUGGAAAGGCGCGCGAUACAGGGUGACAGCCCCGUACACAAAAAUGCACAUGCUGUGAGCUCGAUGAGUAGGGCGGGACACGUGGUAUCCUGUCUGAAUAUGGGGGGACCAUCCUCCAAGGCUAAAUACUCCUGACUGACCGAUAGUGAACCAGUACCGUGAGGGAAAGGCGAAAAGAACCCCGGCGAGGGGAGUGAAAAAGAACCUGAAACCGUGUACGUACAAGCAGUGGGAGCACGCUUAGGCGUGUGACUGCGUACCUUUUGUAUAAUGGGUCAGCGACUUAUAUUCUGUAGCAAGGUUAACCGAAUAGGGGAGCCGAAGGGAAACCGAGUCUUAACUGGGCGUUAAGUUGCAGGGUAUAGACCCGAAACCCGGUGAUCUAGCCAUGGGCAGGUUGAAGGUUGGGUAACACUAACUGGAGGACCGAACCGACUAAUGUUGAAAAAUUAGCGGAUGACUUGUGGCUGGGGGUGAAAGGCCAAUCAAACCGGGAGAUAGCUGGUUCUCCCCGAAAGCUAUUUAGGUAGCGCCUCGUGAAUUCAUCUCCGGGGGUAGAGCACUGUUUCGGCAAGGGGGUCAUCCCGACUUACCAACCCGAUGCAAACUGCGAAUACCGGAGAAUGUUAUCACGGGAGACACACGGCGGGUGCUAACGUCCGUCGUGAAGAGGGAAACAACCCAGACCGCCAGCUAAGGUCCCAAAGUCAUGGUUAAGUGGGAAACGAUGUGGGAAGGCCCAGACAGCCAGGAUGUUGGCUUAGAAGCAGCCAUCAUUUAAAGAAAGCGU
rnacentral:rRNA from 1 species